UACGUAGGGUGCAAGCGUUGUCCGGAAUCAUUUGGGCGUAAAGAGCGUGUAGGCGGCUCGAUUAGUCCCGCUGUAAAAGUCCAGGGCUCAACCCUGGGAUGCCGGUGGAAAUGUCGGGCUAGAGUCCGGGAGAGGCGAGUGGAAUUCCUGGUGUAGCGGUGGAAUGCGCAGAUAUCAGGAGGAACACCGGUGGCGAAGGCGGGUCUCUGGCAGUAACUGACGCUGAGGAGCGAAAGCGUGGGAGCGAACAGG
rnacentral:rRNA from 1 species